GUGGGGAAUUUUGCGCAAUGGGGGAAACCCUGACGCAGCAACGCCGCGUGCGGGACGAAGGCCUUCGGGUUGUAAACCGCUUUCAGCAGGGAAGACAUCGACGGUACCUGCAGAAGAAGCCCCGGCUAACUACGUGCCAGCAGCCGCGGUAACACGUAGGGGGCGAGCGUUAUCCGGAUUCAUUGGGCGUAAAGCGCGCGUAGGCGGCCGCUCAAGCGGGACCUCUAAUCCCGGGGCUCAACCCCGGGCCGGGUCCCGAACUGGGCGGCUCGAGUCAGGUAGAGGCAGGCGGAAUUCCCGGUGUAGCGGUGAAAUGCGCAGAUAUCGGGAAGAACACCGAUGGCGAAGGCAGCCUGCUGGGCCUGCACUGACGCUGAGGCGCGAAAGCCGGGGGAGCGAACAGGAUUAGAAACCCUAGUAGUCC
rnacentral:rRNA from 1 species